rnacentral:lncRNA from 1 species
GGGAGCUGCCACCUCCAAACUCUGUCUCCGGUUUUGCUGCAAGCCCAGCUCCCUGCGCUGCCCAGCUCCAGCGUGGUCCCGAGAGAUGGAGGAAGUGCCCAAGCCUGGGCCCACCACCUUACUGCGGGUGUACAUGGUCCACAGCCCGUGGGGUCCUGGCCACAGCCUUUGAGGGACGGAUGCUGACAGGAACCUAGCAUAACUAUCCUCUGAGAGGCUACACCGAACAGCCAAUGGGAGGAGAUGCAGAGACUCACACCCAGAAAGUAGAUGGUGUUCAGAUGGUGCGCGGGAAGUCUUACAGAAAAGCUGGGAAAAAGACUGAGGGACCCAAAGAGGACAGUCCACAGGAAGAUCAACAGAGUCAACUAACCUGAACCCCUGGGGGCUCCCAGAGGCUGAAUCAUCAACCAAAGAGCGAGCAUGAGCUGGACAUAGGCCCCCUGCACAUACGUAGCAGAUGUACAGCUUGAUCUUCCCAAACAACUGGAACAGGGGCUGUCCCUGAGCCUGUUGCCUAUAUGCCUGCCUGUGGAUCCUGCAUCCCUAAAUGGAAAGCCUGGUCUGGCCUCAGCGGGAGAGGACGUGCCCAGUCCCGCAGCAACUCUAUGUGAUGUAAAGUGGUGGAGUGUAGGGUUGACACACAGAGCAGGGCUUCCCCUUCUAAAGGGAAUAUGGGAGUACUUAUGUGAGGGGCUACUGGAAGAGAGGAAGGACUGAUAUUGGGUUGCAAAGUGAAUAAAUAAAUGAAUAAACUUAAUUUU